rnacentral:rRNA from 1 species
UACAGAGGUCCCAAGCGUUGUUCGGAUUCACUGGGCGUAAAGGGUGCGCAGGCGGCGUCGCAAGUCAGGCGUGAAAUCCCCGGGCUUAACCUGGGAACUGCACUUGAAACUACGAUGCUGGAGUAUGGCAGAGGGAGGUGGAAUUCCACGUGUAGCGGUGAAAUGCGUAGAGAUGUGGAGGAACACCGAUGGCGAAGGCAGCCUCCUGGGCCAAUACUGACGCUCAUGCACGAAAGCGUGGGGAGCAAACAGG